UCCACAACCUUGAACCCAAGGUGGCCCCUUCAUUCCCAGAACAGAAGGAGAAGCAUCCAGGACUGGUGCGUGUUCCUGCAAGUCAUUCUGCUAACGUCCUGCAGCCUGGCCUGCAGGGAUCACUUCCAGGCGUAAGAGGAUAAUUCAGCGUUCACAGCCCAUUGAUUUCCUGGCCAUG
rnacentral:sRNA from 2 species